ACGAACGCUGGCGGCGUGCUUAACACAUGCAAGUCGAACGGAAAGGCCCUGCUUUUGUGGGGUGCUCGAGUGGCGAACGGGUGAGUAACACGUGAGUAACCUGCCCUUGACUUUGGGAUAACUUCAGGAAGCUGGGGCUAAUACCGGAUAGGAGCUCCUGCUGCAUGGUGGGGGUUGGAAAGUUUCGGCGGUUGGGGAUGGACUCGCGGCUUAUCAGCUUGUUCGUGGGGUAGUGGCUUACCAAGGCUUUGACGGGUAGCCGGCCUGAGAGGGUGACCGGCCACAUUGGGACUGAGAUACGGCCCAGACUCCUACGGGAGGCAGCAGUGGGGAAUAUUGCACAAUGGGCGGAAGCCUGAUGCAGCAACGCCGCGUGCGGGAUGACGGCCUUCGGGUUGUAAACCGCUUUCGCCUGUGACGAAGCGUGAGUGACGGUAAUGGGUAAAGAAGCACCGGCUAACUACGUG
rnacentral:rRNA from 1 species